rnacentral:rRNA from 1 species
UGGGGAAUAUUGCACAAUGGGCGCAAGCCUGAUGCAGCCAUGCCGCGUGUAUGAAGAAGGCCUUCGGGUUGUAAAGUACUUUCAGCGGGGAGGAAGGGAGUAAAGUUAAUACCUUUACUCAUUGACGUUACCCGCAGAAGAAGCACCGGCUAACUCCGUGCCAGCAGCCGCGGUAAUACGGAGGGUGCAAGCGUUAAUCGGAAUUACUGGGCGUAAAGCGCACGCAGGCGGUUUGUUAAGUCAGAUGUGAAAUCCCCGGGCUCAACCUGGGAACUGCAUCUGAUACUGGCAAGCUUGAGUCUCGUAGAGGGGGGUAGAAUUCCAGGUGUAGCGGUGAAAUGCGUAGAGAUCUGGAGGAAUACCGGUGGAGAAGGCGGCCCCCUGGACGAAGACUGACGCUCAGGUGCGAAAGCGUGGGGAGCAAACAGG